AUUUCAAUUAAAAUACAUUAAUAUAUAUGUAUACGGGUCUUUUUGGGUGAUAUUGCUUAAUUAUCGUUGAACGCUGAUUAUACGAUAUCUACGCAUACAUCCGUGCAGGUACACCUUAUCUGUUGGAAUACCCAUCGAAUUCUAUGAUUGUCGAAUACAGUUGGCGAUGUGAAACCGCGCAAGUUCAAGCUAAUCAAAAACAAUAUAAAAUUUUUACAACAAACAAGCCAAAAUAUAAUGCAAAGUAUGAGUGGGCGAUUCGUUUUUAAUUUCAUAUUUACAAAUUGCUUGGUGAGUUGUAUGAUUUUCACAUCCGCUUCAUGAUUGAGACUUUCAUUCUAACCACUUCAUACGAAAGUUUUCCAAAUCGAAGGGUUGAAAUCACACUCUACUGGUGACAUACAUUUUGUAUGUAUGCACGCGUUUACCUCUGAGUAAAGGUAUACUAAUAGUACAUGCCUGUGUAUGCGUGUUUAUUACAUGUAUUGCACUUUAUCCGUGGUUGCAGGCAAAUAUACUAACGUUUCUUUAAUAUCAAUUAAUAGACGUGUACUGAACGGCCGUACGUGUCCUUGACUAAACAUAAGUUUGAAAAAGAGUAGCGAGCAAUGAUCAGCAAAUAAAGGGUUUAGAAGGUGCGUCAAAUUCAUACAUAGUUUAUUCGCCAAUAACAUACCGAUACCUGAUACCAUGUAUAGAAUUAGUAAAAUAUAAUAUUAAUAAACUUUUCUUUAUGAUUUGUUUCUUCUUACCGGAUUCAACAUAUUCCUAUGU